GAUGAACGCUGGCGGCGUGCCUAAUACAUGCAAGUCGAGCGAAUGGAUUAAGAGCUUGCUCUUAUGAAGUUAGCGGCGGACGGGUGAGUAACACGUGGGUAACCUGCCCAUAAGACUGGGAUAACUCCGGGAAACCGGGGCUAAUACCGGAUAACAUUUUGAACCGCAUGGUUCGAAAUUGAAAGGCGGCUUCGGCUGUCACUUAUGGAUGGACCCGCGUCGCAUUAGCUAGUUGGUGAGGUAGCGGCUCACCAAGGCAACGAUGCGUAGCCGACCUGAGAGGGGGAUCGGCCACACUGGGACUGGAACACGGCCCAGACUCCUACGGGAGGCAGCAGUGGGGAAUCUUCCGCAAUGGACGAAAGUCUGACGGAGCAACGCCGCGUGAGUGAUGAAGGCUUUCGGGUCGUAAAACUCUGUUGUUAGGGAAGAACAAGUGCUAGUUGAAUAAGCUGACACCUUGACGGUACCUAACCAGAAAGCCACGGCUAACUACGUGCCAGCCGCCGCGGUAA
rnacentral:rRNA from 1 species